GGGUUGUGAGGUUAAGCGACUAAGCGUACACGGUGGAUGCCCUGGCAGUCAGAGGCGAUGAAGGGCGUGCUAAUCUGCGAUAAGCGCCGGUAAGGUGAUAUGAACCGUUAUAACCGGCGAUACCCGAAUGGGGAAACCCAGUGUGACUCGUCACACUAUCAUUAACUGAAUCCAUAGGUUAAUGAGGCGAACCGGGGGAACUGAAACAUCUAAGUACCCCGAGGAAAAGAAAUCAACCGAGAUUCCCCCAGUAGCGGCGAGCGAACGGGGAGGAGCCCAGAGCCUGAAUCAGCAUGUGUGUUAGUGGAAG
rnacentral:rRNA from 2 species